rnacentral:snoRNA from 1 species
AUAUAAUUCUCAUUGUUCUGAUUUUGUAAUAAUCAGAACAGGCUAAACAGUCGCUGAAAUAAGACCAUGCAUGUCUUCCCAGAUUUAGUUCUUUCACCACCUAGGUCUGCUCUUAGAAAUGUUGGAUACAUUU